rnacentral:rRNA from 1 species
UACGAAGGGGGCUAGCGUUGUUCGGAUUUACUGGGCGUAAAGCGCACGUAGGCGGAUUGUUAAGUGAGAGGUGAAAUCCCGGAGCUCAACUCCGGAACUGCCUUUCAUACUGGCAAUCUAGAGUCCGGAAGAGGUGAGUGGAACUCCUAGUGUAGAGGUGGAAUUCGUAGAUAUUAGGAAGAACACCAGUGGCGAAGGCGGCUCACUGGUCCGGUACUGACGCUGAGGUGCGAAAGCGUGGGGAGCGAUCCGG